GAGCUGGGGAGUACGGCCGCAGGUUAAAACUCAAAUGAAUUGACGGGGGCCCGCACAAGCGGUGGAGCAUGUGGUUUAAUUCGAUGCAACGCGAAGAACCUUACCUACUCUUGACAUCCACAGAAUUUGCUAGAGAUAGCUUAGUGCCUUCGGGAACUGUGAGACAGGUGCUGCAUGGCUGUCGUCAGCUCGUGUUGUGAAAUGUUGGGUUAAGUCCCGCAACGAGCGCAACCCUUAUCCUUAUUUGCCAGCACGUAAUGGUGGGAACUUUAGGGAGACUGCCGGUGAUAAACCGGAGGAAGGUGGGGACGACGUCAAGUCAUCAUGGCCCUUACGAGUAGGGCUACACACGUGCUACAAUGGUCGGUACAGAGGGUUGCAACGCCGCGAGGUCAAGCUAAUCCCACAAAGCCGGUCGUAGUCCGGAUCGGAGUCUGCAACUCGACUCCGUGAAGUCGGAAUCGCUAGUAAUCGUGAAUCAGAAUGUCACGGUGAAUACGUUCCCGGGCCUUGUACACACCGCCCGUCACACCAUGGGAGUGGGCUGCACCAGAAGUAGAUAGCUUAACCCUUCGGGGAGGGCGUUUACCACGGUGUGGUUCAUGACUGGGGUGAAGUCGUAACAAGGUAGCCCUAGGGGAACCUGGGGCUGGAUCACCUCCUUACCUA
rnacentral:rRNA from 1 species